rnacentral:rRNA from 1 species
GGUUAAGCGACUAAGCGUACACGGUGGAUGCCCUGGCAGUCAGAGGCGAUGAAGGACGUGCUAAUCUGCGAUAAGCGUCGGUAAGGUGAUAUGAACCGUUAUAACCGGCGAUUUCCGAAUGGGGAAACCCAGUGUGAUUCGUCACACUAUCGUUAACUGAAUACAUAGGUUAACGAAG